rnacentral:rRNA from 1 species
GGACUACAAGGGUUUCUAAUCCUGUUUGCUCCCCACGCUUUCGCGUCUCAGCGUCAGUACCGUCCCAGCGAGCUGCCUUCGCCAUUGGUGUUCCUCCUGAUAUCUGCGCAUUUCACCGCUACACCAGGAAUUCCACUCGCCUCUUCCGGACUCUAGCUCGACAGUUUCCACCGGCUUUCCAAGGUUGAGCCUUGGACUUUCACAGCAGACUUACCGAGCCGCCUACACGCGCUUUACGCCCAAUGAUUCCGGACAACGCUAGCCCCCUACGUAUUACCGCGGCGGCUGGCAC